rnacentral:rRNA from 1 species
AUUGAACGCUGGCGGCAGGCCUAACACAUGCAAGUCGAGCGGGGUUUUCGGACCUAGCGGCGGACGGGUGAGUAAUGCGUAGGAAGCUGCCCGAUAGAGGGGGAUACCAGUUGGAAACGACUGUUAAUACCGCAUAAUGUCUACGGACCAAAGUGUGGGACCUUCGGGCCACAUGCUAUCGGAUGCGCCUACGUGGGAUUAGCUAGUUGGUGAGGUAAUGGCUCACCAAGGCGAGGAUCUCUAGCUGGUUUGAGAGGAGGAUCAGCCACACUGGAGCUGAGACACGGUCCAGACUCCUACGGGAGGCAGCAGUGGGGAAUAUUGGACAAUGGGCGCAAGCCUGAUCCAGCCAUGCCGCGUGUGUGAAGAAGGCCUUCGGGUUGUAAAGCACUUUCAGCGAGGAGGAAGGGUGGUGUGUUAAUAGCACAUCAUUUUGACGUUACUCGCAGAAGAAGCACCGGCUAACUCUGUGCCAGCCGCCGCCGUAACAC